GCCCCCGUAGCUCAGUUGGAUCAGAGCAGGCGGUUUCUACCCGUCAGGUCGCACGUUCGAGUCGUGCCGGGGGCA
rnacentral:tRNA from 1 species